GAUGAACGCUGGCGGCGUGCCUAACACAUGCAAGUCGAACGAAGCACUUUCCUUGAUUCCUUCGGGAUGAUUUUUAAGUGACUGAGUGGCGGACGGGUGAGUAACGCGUGGAUAACCUGCCUUAUACAGGGGGACAACAGCUGGAAACGGCUGCUAAUACCGCAUAAGCGCACAGUAUCGCAUGAUACGGUGUGAAAAACUCCGGUGGUAUAAGAUGGAUCCGCGUCCGAUUAGCUAGUUGGUGAGGUAGAGGCUCACCAAGGCGACGAUCAGUAGCCGACCUGAGAGGGUGACCGGCCACAUUGGGACUGAGACACGGCCCAGACUCCUACGGGAGGCAGCAGUGGGGAAUAUUGCACAAUGGGGGAAACCCUGAUGCAGCAACGCCGCGUGAAGGAAGAAGUAUCUCGGUAUGUAAACUUCUAUCAGCAGGGAAGAAAAUGACGGUACCUGACUAAGAAGCCCCGGCUAAAUACGUGCCAGCCGCCGCCGUAACAC
rnacentral:rRNA from 1 species